UUAAUUCCCCCAACUCCUCGUCCACCGUAGUAGGAAGCAUCCACCGUGGGCCACUUCUUGGAAGGCAAGGGCUCCUGUUCUUCUUCCUGGAGGCUCAUCAUAUGAAACACAGUGGAGGAAGCCCCGACUGUGAGGGUGCAGAUGGAGGCUGAGAUUUCCUGCCCUUGGACAGCCAGAGGCCCGAUGGACCCCCCCAGGUCCCAAGGGCUGCAGCACAAUCAGUUACUGAUCUACGAGCAAAGAAAUCCUGUUGGGAGCCAUGUGUGGUGACGGGCAAAAGAGAUUCUCUCUGUGCUCCAUGCCCAAUGGAAAAGCUGCUCUCCAGUCUCAUGUGAGGUAAGACACAUUUAAGGCCCACGUGCACAACACGUGCUCUACACCGUGGGCUCAUAUCUCCCUCCAUAAAUUCCAGCUGUCCUGUGUAAUACAAAAGGAAUUAAAGGACAGCAAAAAUGUGAGAGUAGAAAAUAUAUGUGUUA